GCCCUCUUGGUCUAGUUGGAAAUGAUAGUACCCUAGGGGUACAGGCGUAGGUUCGAGUCCUACAGUGGGAA
rnacentral:tRNA from 1 species